CGAACGAGUUUAGGCUCGUGGCGUACGGCUCAGUAACACGUGGAUAACCUACCCUUAGGACCGGGAUAACCUUGGGAAACUGAGGAUAAUACUGGAUAGGCAAUUUUUCCUGUAAUGGUUUUUUGUUUAAAUGUUUUUUCGCCUAAGGAUGGGUCUGCGGCCGAUUAGGUAGUUGGUUAGGUAAUGGCUUACCAAGCCGUUGAUCGGUACGGGUUGUGAGAGCAAGAGCCCGGAGAUGGAACCUGAGACAAGGUUCCAGGCCCUACGGGGUGCAGCAGGCGCGAAACCUCCGCAAUGUGAGAAAUCGCGACGGGGGGAUCCCAAGUGCCAUUCUUAACGGGAUGGCUUUCAUUAGUGUAAA
rnacentral:rRNA from 1 species